UACGUAGGGUGCGAGCGUUGUCCGGAAUUAUUGGGCGUAAAGAGCUCGUAGGCGGUCUGUCGCGUCGAUCGUGAAAACUUGGGGCUUAACCCUGAGCUUGCGGUCGAUACGGGCAUGACUGGAGUUCGGCAGGGGAGACUGGAAUUCCUGGUGUAGCGGUGGAAUGCGUAGAGAUCGGGAGGAACACCAGUGGCGAAGGCGACUCGCUGGACCGGUCCUGGACGCUCAGGCGCGAAAGCGUGGGGAGCGAUCCGGG
rnacentral:rRNA from 1 species